rnacentral:rRNA from 1 species
UGAUCAGCAUGCCGCGUGAGUGAAGAAGGCCUUCGGGUUGUAAAGCUCUUUUGUCAGGGAAGAAACGGCGGGAGCUAAUAUCUCCUGCUAAUGACGGUACCUGAAGAAUAAGCACCGGCUAACUACGUGCCAGCAGCCGCGGUAAUACGUAGGGUGCAAGCGUUAAUCGGAAUUACUGGGCGUAAAGCGUGCGCAGGCGGUUGUGCAAGACCGAUGUGAAAUCCCCGGGCUUAACCUGGGAAUGGCAUUGGUGACUGCACGGCUAGAGUGUGUCAGAGGGGGGUAGAAUUCCACGUGUAGCAGUGAAAUGCGUAGAGAUGUGGAGGAAUACCGAUGGCGAAGGCAGCCCCCUGGGAUAACACUGACGCUCAUGCACGAAAGCGUGGGGAGCAAACAGGAUUAGAUACCCUGGUAGUCCACGCCCUAAACGAUGUCAACUAGUUGUCGGGUCUUAAUUGACUUGGUAACGCAGCUAACGCGUGAAGUUGACCGCCUGGGGAGUACGGUCGCAAGAUUAAAACUCAAAGGAAUUGACGGGGACCCGCACAAGCGGUGGAUGAUGUGGAUUAAUUCGAUGCAACGCGAAAAACCUUACCUACCCUUGACAUGUACGGAAGCCCCGAGAGAUCGGGGUGUGCUCGAAAGAGAGCCGUAACACAGGUGCUGCAUGGCUGUCGUCAGCUCGUGUCGUGAGAUGUUGGGUUAAGUCCCGCAACGAGCGCAACCCUUGUCAUUAGUUGCUACGAAAGGGCACUCUAAUGAGACUGCCGGUGACAAACCGGAGGAAGGUGGGGAUGACGUCAAGUCCUCAUGGCCCUUAUGGGUAGGGCUUCACACGUCAUACAAUGGUACAUACAGAGGGCCGCCAACCCGCGAGGGGGAGCUAAUCCCAGAAAGUGUAUCGUAGUCCGGAUUGCAGUCUGCGACUCGACUGCAUGAAGUUGGAAUCGCUAGUAAUCGCGGAUCAGCAUGUCGCGGUGAAUACGUUCCCGGGUCUUGUACACACAGCCCGUCACACCAUGGGAGCGGGUUUUACCAGAAGUAGGUAGCUUAACCGCAAGGAGGGCGGCUUACCACGGNAGGAUUCGUG